UACAGAGGUGGCGAGCGUUAAUCGGAAUUACUGGGCGUAAAGCGCGCGUAGGCGGCUUUGCAAGUCGAGUGUGAAAUCCCCAGGCUUAACCUGGGAACUGCAUUCGAGACUGCAUAGCUAGAGUAUGGGAGAGGGAAGUGGAAUUUCAGGUGUAGCGGUGAAAUGCGUAGAUAUCUGAAGGAACAUCAGUGGCGAAAGCGACUUCCUGGACCAAUACUGACGCUCAUGUGCGAAAGCGUGGGGAGCAAACAGG
rnacentral:rRNA from 1 species